rnacentral:rRNA from 1 species
UACAGAGGUCUCAAGCGUUGUUCGGAAUCACUGGGCGUAAAGGGUGCGUAGGCGGUCGGGUAAGUCUGAUGUGAAAUCUCACAGCUUAACUGUGAAACUGCAUUGGAUACUAUUCGGCUAGAGAGUUGGAGGGGGGACUGGAAUUCUUGGUGUAGCAGUGAAAUGCGUAGAUAUCAAGAGGAACACCAGUGGCGAAGGCGAGUCCCUGGACAACUUCUGACGCUGAGGCGCGAAAGCUAGGGGAGCAAACAGG